GACGAACGCUGGCGGCGUGCUUAACACAUGCAAGUCGAACGAAGUGGCGAACGGGUGAGUAACGCGUAAUCAACCUGCCCUUCAGAGGGGGACAACAGUUGGAAACGACUGCUAAUCCCGCAUACUGAAGGAGGGGAUUGCGUCUGAUUAGCUAGUUGUGGGGGGCACGGCCCACCAAGGAGAAGAUCAGUAGCCGGUCUGAUAGGAUGAACGGCCACAGUGGGACUGGGACAAGGCCCAGACUCCUACGGGAGGCAGCAGUGGGGAAUCUUCCGCAAUGGACGAAAGUCUGACGGAGCAAAGCCGGGGGAGUGAUGACGGCCUUCGGGUGGUAAAGCUCUGUUAAUCGGGACGCGGUACCGGAAUAGAAAGCCACGGCUAACUACGUGCCAGCAGCCGCGGUAAUUC
rnacentral:rRNA from 1 species